rnacentral:rRNA from 1 species
AUUGAACGCUGGCGGCAGGCCUAACACAUGCAAGUCGAACGAGUGGCGGACGGGUGAGUAAUGUCUGGGAAACUGCCUGAUGGAGGGGGAUAACUACUGGAAACGGUAGCUAAUACCGCAUACCAUCAGAUGUGCCCAGAGUGGAUUAGCUUGUUGGUGGGGUAACGGCUCACCAAGGCGACGAUCCCUAGCUGGCCUGAGAGGAUGACCAGCAACCCCGGAACUGAGCCACUGUCCAGUCUCCGACGGGGUGCAGCAGUGGGGAAUAUUGCACAACGGGCGCAAGCCUGAUGCAGCCAUGCCGCGUGUAUGAAGAAGGCCUUCGGGUUUUAAAGUACUUUCAGCUGGGAGGCGUUACCCGCAGAAGAAGCACCGGCUAACUCCGUGCCAGCAGCCGCGGUAAUUC